UACGUAGGGUGCAAGCGUUAAUCGGAAUUACUGGGCGUAAAGCGUGCGCAGGCGGUUUUGUAAGUCUGUCGUGAAAUCCCCGGGCUCAACCUGGGAAUGGCGAUGGAGACUGCAAGGCUAGAGUUUGGCAGAGGGGGGUAGAAUUCCACGUGUAGCAGUGAAAUGCGUAGAUAUGUGGAGGAACACCGAUGGCGAAGGCAGCCCCCUGGGUCAAGACUGACGCUCGAUGCACGAAAGCGUGGGGAGCAAACAGG
rnacentral:rRNA from 1 species